ensembl:lncRNA ZNF561-AS1 ZNF561 antisense RNA 1 (head to head)
GAUUUAGAGGAGGGACCCGGCCUAGCCGGUGGUUCAGGUGGCCGGUCGGGCUGGAAGGGCGGGGAUGAGGGAUGGGACGCAUCCCCGGGGGAUGCUCCUCCAAAGCUUUUAUCGGGCGAGCGCAGUGGCUCACGCCUGUAAUUCCUGCACUUUGGGAGGCUAAGGGUCUCACUCUAUUGUCUAGGCUCGAAUGCAGUGACGUGAUCAUGGAUCACUGCAGUCCUCAACUUACUGGGCUCAGGAUGAAAGGCUUCCUAGCACAAACACCACCCCUGGAGUUCCCGGUACAUCAAUACCAGCCUGGGGAUCACGUUCUCAUCAAGAGUUGGAAGAGGGAAAGCUUGAACCAGCUUAGGAGGACCUCAUCUGGUACUCUUGAUGAAUGAAACAGCAAUCUGAAUGGCUGAAAAAGGAUGGACCCAGCACUCCAGGGAGAAAACUUGGCAUUCUUUGGGAAUCUAACAGGAUGCAGUGAACCCAAGCCUUUUGAAGAGCUCACCAAUCAGACUGCCCUUGUCUAUCCAUGAGCAGAUGUUUGAUAGUAUUGCGGAGGCCCUCUAGUGGGUAUGCUGCCAAGCAACUGGAGUGGCACUUGGGCUCUAAUCCAGUUGUCUAUCCCUUUCACCCUGGCAUUUCAUCAGCCAAACAAAAACCAACUAACUCAGAAAAAAAGGAAAGCCCCUCAAGGGUCCUUUGACCCCGAUAUCUACAUAGAUGCUAUCGGGGUCCCCUGAGGGGUACCAAACGAAUUCAAAGCUCGAAAUCAAAUAGCUGCUGGAUUCAAGUCUGUCCUUUUCUUGUGGUCUACUAUAAAUAAAAAUGUAGACUGGAUAAAUUACAUAUACUAUAACCAACAACGAUUUGUCAGUUACACCAGGGAUGCCAUUAAAGGAAUAGCUGAACAAUUGGGUUUCACCAGCCAAAUGGCCUGGGAAAAUAGAAUAGCUCUUGACAUGAUAUUAGUGGAAGUCCAAUGUUGUACCUGUAUCCCCAAUAAUACAGCCCCUGAUGUAACUAUCACUAAGGGUCUAUAAGGCCUCACCACUCUAGGAAAUGAACUAGCUGAAAAUUCGGGAAUGAAUGAUCCCUUUACAGGUGUAAUGGAAAAAAUGGUUUGGUAGAUGGAAAGGACUAAUGGCCUCUAUUCUCACCUCCCUUGUGAUCAUAAUAGGGGUGCUCAUUCUCUUAGGGUGCUGUAUUAUACCCUGUGUCUGCGGACUAGUUCAAAAGCUCAUAGAAACAGCCCUUACCAAGACCUCCCACAACUCUCCCCCACCCUAUUCAGAUAAACGUUUAUUUCUAAGCAACCAAGAAGAGCAGUGAAGCCAGAUCCUGUUAGAAAUAUAUGAAGAGGAAGGACUACAAAAUCAAAAGGGGAAAAUUAUUAGACAAAAUGAGUUGCUCUACAAAGGUCCAACUUCGUUGUCCUUUGUUCUGUAACCUUUGUUCUGUAAACUGCCCUUCCCGCAGAAACUGUCUUUCCCGCCGACCAAAACUGCCCUUCACUAUCACUGUAAUCCAUACCCCUACUCUAUUUGAAACUGCCAAUCGGGAUCAGCUUACAUUGUGUGGUUCAACCACCAGCCAAUGAGGAAAAAACACAGAAGCAAAAGCUAUGAUGCAUUAGGGUUAAAAACCCCUUCCUUUCCCUGUCCAAUGUGCUCUUGAGACUGCUACAGGCGCAAGCAGCCACCUUCUGCAGAAGUAAACCUUGCCUUGCUGAGAAAUUUUUCUUUUGAGUGCUGGUCUCUCUCUGUGGCACCAAGAACUUAUUUCUAACAUGGAGUGAUUUCCAAGAUAGAUGGUUAAGUGAAAAUAAAAACUGUUGCCAGGCACGGUAGCUCAUGCCUGUAAUCCCAGCACUUUGGGAGUCUGAGGAGGUUGGAUUAUUUGAGGUCAGGAGUUUGAGACCAGCCUAGCCAACAUGGUGAAAUCCUGUCUCUUCUAAAUAUACAAAAAAUUAGCCGGGCGUGGUUGUGGGUGCCUGUAAUCCCAGCUACUUGGGAAGCUGAGGCAGAAGAAUUGCUUAAACCCAGGAAGCAGAGGUUGCAGUGAGCCGAGAUCACAGCACUGCACUCCAGCCUGGGUGAUAGAGUGAGACUCGGUCUCAAAAACAAUAAUAAUAAUAAUAAUAAUACAAAUAAAAAAAUGAAAAUAAAGGCCAGGUGCUGUGGCUCACCCCUCUAAUCCCAGCACUUUGGGAGGCUGAGGCAGGUGGAUCACAAGGUCAGGAGUUCAAAACCAGCCUGGCCAAGAUGGUGAAACCCCGUCUCUACUAAAAAUACAAAAAUUAGCUGGGCACAGUGGCAGGCGCCUGUAAUCCCAGCUACUUGGGAGGCUGAGGCAGGAUAAUUGCUUAAACCUGGGUGGCAGAGGUUGCAGUGAGCCAAGAUCAUGCCACUGCACUCCAGCCUGGGC